UGCCCCCGUAACUUCGGGAGAAGGGGGACCGGAAUAUCGUGAACACCCUUGCGGUGGGAGCGGGAUCCGGUCGCAGAAACCAGUGAGGAGCGACUGUUUACUAAAAACACAGGUCCGUGCGAAGUCGCAAGACGAUGUAUACGGACUGACGCCUGCCCGGUGCUGGAAGGUUAAGAGGACCCGUUAACCCGCAAGGGUGAAGCGGAGAAUUUAAGCCCCAGUAAACGGCGGUGGUAACUAUAACCAUCCUAAGGUAGCGAAAUUCCUUGUCGGGUAAGUUCCGACCUGCACGAAUGGCGUAACGACUUCUCAACUGUCUCAACCAUAGACUCGGCGAAAUUGCACUACGAGUAAAGAUGCUCGUUACGCGCGGCAGGACGAAAAGACCCCGGGACCUUCACUACAACUUGGUAUUGAUGUUCGGUACGGUUUGUGUAGGAUAGGUGGGAGACUGUGAAACCUCGACGCCAGUUGGGGCGGAGUCGUUGUUGAAAUACCACUCUGAUCGUAUUGGGCAUCUAACCUCGAACCCUGAAUCGGGUUUAGGGACAGUGCCUGGCGGGUAGUUUAACUGGGGCGGUUGCCUCCUAAAAUGUAACGGAGGCGCCCAAAGGUUCCCUCAACCUGGACGGCAAUCAGGUGGCGAGUGUAAAUGCACAAGGGAGCUUGACUGCGAGACUUACAAGUCAAGCAGGGACGAAAGUCGGGAUUAGUGAUCCGGCACCCCCGAGUGGAAGGGGUGUCGCUCAACGGAUAAAAGGUACCCCGGGGAUAACAGGCUGAUCUUCCCCAAGAGUCCAUAUCGACGGGAUGGUUUGGCACCUCGAUGUCGGCUCGUCGCAUCCUGGGGCUGGAGCAGGUCCCAAGGGUUGGGCUGUUCGCCCAUUAAAGCGGCACGCGAGCUGGGUUUAGAACGUCGUGAGACAGUUCGGUCUCUAUCCGCCGCGCGCGUCAGAAACUUGAGGAAACCUGUCCCUAGUACGAGAGGACCGGGACGGACGAACCUCUGGUGCACCAGUUGUCCCGCCAGGGGCACCGCUGGAUAGCCACGUUCGGUCAGGAUAACCGCUGAAAGCAUCUAAGCGGGAAACCUUCUCCAAGAUCAGGUUUCUCACCCACUUGGUGGGAUAAGGCCCCCCGCAGAACACGGGUUCAAUAGGUCAGACCUGGAAGCUCAGUAAUGGGUGUAGGGAACUGGUGCUAACCGGCCGAAAACUUACAACA
rnacentral:rRNA from 1 species